UACAGAGGGUGCGAGCGUUGUCCGGAAUCACUGGGCGUAAAGAGCGCGUAGGUGGUGGCUUAAGCGUGCGGUGAAAGCUCGGGGCUCAACUCCGAGUCGGCCGUGCGAACUGGGCUCACUGGAGCAUAGUAGAGGCAGGUGGAAUUCCGGGUGUAGCGGUGGAAUGCGUAGAGAUCCGGAAGAACACCGGUGGCGAAGGCGGCCUGCUGGGCUAUGGCUGACACUGAGGCGCGACAGCGUGGGGAGCAAACAGGG
rnacentral:rRNA from 1 species